UACGUAGGGGGCAAGCGUUAUCCGGAAUCACUGGGUGUAAGGGGAGCGUAGACGGCUGUGCAAGCCUGAAGUGAAAGGCGGGGGCCCAACCCCUGGACUGCUUUGGGAACUGUACGGCUGGAGUGCAGGAGGGGUAAGUGGGAUUCCUAGUGUAGCGGUGAAAUGCGUAGAUAUUAGGAGGAACACCAGUGGCGAAGGCGGCUUACUGGACUGUAACUGACGUUGAGGCUCGAAAGCGUGGGGAGCAAACAGG
rnacentral:rRNA from 1 species